rnacentral:precursor_RNA from 7 species
CAGCACUGCCCAAGGUCACAGAGUGAGCAGCCAGUGCUGUUAGAAGAGGGCUGAGAGCAGGGAGAGCUCUCUUCUGCAGCACUGACUUUUCCUCUGCAUUGGCACAUUUUGAACACA